rnacentral:lncRNA from 1 species
AGCUUACAACGGUCGCGGGACCCACAGGGACGCGGCCCGAGUGGCUCUGCUCCGGCGUCCCGUCCGCACGGAUCUCCCCCGGGACGCGGGCGGACCAGGGAGCACUCACCGGCAGUCCUUGAGCCAUAUCGCGAUCUUCUCGUUGGGCACGUUUCCUGGGGGUAGAGAGAGGGGACAGCACGUUACCACCCAGGAGCACUACGACGGCGGAGUCACCCUGGACCCUCCCAAGUAGGAAAAUCUACCACGGCAAAUGCAGCCUAAGCGACACGUCUCAGUGUCCCUUGGCAGGGAAAUCGGAUGGCACCCAGUUGUCUGUGUUGACGCUGGGGGCGCCUCGUUCAGCGCGCGCGUUUGAAGGUCGGAAGUGUCCCCUCUCCCCUCGGCCUACCGUGCCCGAGGCUCUCCCAGAACUCGUGGCAGGCGCCCAGGGCGCACGAGACUCUCCCCAGCCCACCAGCCUCCCCCCGGAGCCCGGCCGGGAGCACCGACCUCUUCCCCCCGCUGCCGGCAGCUGCGCGCCGGGGAGGUCCUCCUCCUCGUCCUCCUCCUCGUCCUGCGUCGUCGCUUCUGUGGACAGAUCCUCCGUCUCCGACGCUUGCCAGGAGCUGCGGCACUUGGCCCAGGCCUUCCUCCUGCGACUCGCCACUUGCCACUCCAGUUCCUCCUCCGCCUCCGCCGACGACGACAGGGG